rnacentral:lncRNA from 1 species
UCAUAGAGAUGCUCUCUGUCCUGUGACAUCUUUCUGUCCUAUAGAAGCUUAAAUAAACCUGCAGUCUUUUUGCAUUAAAAAAUGAUAUGAAUUGAAUUACAAAAAUGAUAUGACCUCUGGUGACUCAUUUAACAGGCUUUUUGGGCUCACUUGUUCAUUUUGAUAGACAUGUUCUUCGCAUAUGGUUUUAAAAUGAUUGUGCUAUUAUAUGUUGACGGCUGAAGUUUGUAUAUUUCAGUUUAUAAAGUGCAAGAUUUUGUAGAAGUUCAAUUUUUUAAAAAGAGGGCUUAGACAUGGCGACAAGAAUGAAGGUGGAGGGGAAGGAGUGGAGAGAAAGAUGUCUGUCUCCACGUGGUGCGAAAAAGACUAUACAGGAUUCUGUAUUAUGCCGCGUUAAAACAAUCUGGAAUAUAAAGGAUUCUGGAGGUGAGCUUAAAUGAAAGUAUUUCCUUCUAUCACUAUUCCUGUCGCGAGGCAUGUUUGUUCCCAUGAUGUAAAAGUAAACAUGGUCUGAGGUUACCUAAUCUUAUACUGCAAUUUCAGAAUUUCCUAGAUUUUUUUUUUUGACAGUUUCAACACAUGUUCUUCUUACUAAAAUGAACCUGCAGUCUUUUGCAUUAAAAAUGAUAUGAAUUGAAUUACAAAAAUUAUAUGACCUCUGGUGACUCAUUUAACAGACUUUUUGGACUCACUUGUUCAUUUUGAUAGACAUGUUCUUCGCAUAUGGUUUUAAAAUGAUUGUGCUAUUAUAUGUUGACGGCUGAAGUUUGUAUAUUUCAGUUUAUAAAGUGCAAGAUUUUGUAGAAGUUCAAUUUUUUAAAAAGAGGGCUCAGACAUGGCGACAAGAAUGAAGGUGGAGGGGAAGGAGUGGAGAGAAAGAUGCCUGUCUCCACGUGGUGCGAAAAAGACUACAGGAUUCUGUAUUAUGUCGUGUUAAAACAAUUUGGAAUAUAAAGGAUUCUGGAGGUGAGCUUAAAUGAAAGUAUUUCCUUCUAUCACUAUUCAUGUCACAAGGCAUGUUUGAACAUGGUCUGAGGUUACCUAAUCUUAUACUGCAAUUUCAGAAUUUCCUAGAUUUUUUUUUGACAAUUUCAACAGUCUUUUUGCAUUACAAAAAUGAUAUGGCAUACUAUAGGACUUUAGCAAUAUCCUUUACGGAUCAGGGCAAUAUUCUUUACGGAACAGGGUCUCCAAUAUAUGAACUUAACCGUGCGAACAGAACAGGUGGCAUAACUCAUUAGAUUUUGUAACUUUGCGGAAUAAGUGCUAAUGUAGUUGGAGUAAAAGUUAAAGAUGCAGUAUGAGUACUAACAAUAUGAAGUAUUGAACAGGAGUCUAGGAUGGCAAACCUGGGGCGUGAUGGGCAGCAUGAAACAUAACAAAGGUGGAUAUCCAUCAUUUGCCGUCGGAGAGGAAGAAGACGGUAGGCGGGCUCAGGAGAUGACGCAGAAACAGCCGUCGAGCGAGGCGAUCAGCAGAGGCUGCAGCUCCCACAGCUCGCGUUUCUGUUUUGGCGGCGUGCGCUCGCGUGUGGAUGGAGCUCGUACGCCAGGAAGAAUUGGCGUCUCGAUGGAGCUCAUACGCCAGGAAGAACUGGAGUUCGUUGGACCUCGUCCUCGUUCGUGGGUUGCGGAGCUGUUUUUUUAUUGACUGGGGGCUCAGGAGAUGACGCAGAAACAACCGUCGAGCGAGGCAAUCAGCAGAGGCUGCAGCUCCCACAACUCGCGUUUCUGUUUUGGUGGCGUGCGCUCGCGUGUGGAUGGAGCUUGUACGCCAGGAAGAACUGGNNNNNNNNNNGGUUAGGAUAAGGUUGUUUAUUUAGUGAGAUGAGGAUUAAACCUUUCUUGGGGUUGUUCGGAUUGGAUACGGACUUUCUGCCAAUUCUGUUUCCCAUAAACUCGUUUAAAGGGCUAACCACAUGAAAUUUGUUAGCGUACCCAAAAUUAUAGUUUUUUUAGGGACAGAAUUAGUAAAACUUGGUUUUAGUAGAACAGGCAAAGAACUUUGGUCAAGGAGGCUAGCUUCCUCUUCCUGGAGAUUGGAUCUGCCAAUCCUGACCAAAUUUUGAAUUGUACAGACCCACAAUGCAUUUCAACAAAGCCAAACACAAUGUCAGAAUCAUACAGAUUUAUGCAAGGUAACCUGACAUAAAAGUCAGUACUCUACAAUGGUGACAGUCAUACUAAUGUACAAUUUGUAAAAAUCGAAUGCAAAGCUUGGUCUGCAUCUUUUGGCAAAUAGCAUAAGGUUGAUGUUUCUAAUCCUGUACAUGGUACUUUGGAAUCACCUUCUUCAUUGAAUUUUGAGGCCUGAAAUUGAUGUUUAAGAACGUGUUAGAAAUUAAGGACAGCUGCAUGCUAAAUCUUAUCACAGAGGUACAGAAAAAAGCAGAUCAACAUAUUAUGUUCCUUUUCUUCAUAUCGAAGUAUCUGUCGCCUAGAAAAACUCAUCCUUUAAUAGUUGAGAUAGUAGAGAUAUGAGGAGAUCACUGAUGGCUUCACUCAGCUUGGGUUCUUCAUUAAUUAUCAGAUACAUAGUUCCUUGUCCAUGUAUUAGUCCCUGACAGUAGUAUGGGGUUGAAUAUCGCAGGGCGCGUCUGUAGCCGGUAACAGUAGUAGUCCCUGACAGAGACACACAACCGGCUGUUCCCCUCUGUGGAAAGACGUGAAAGAAGAAGGUUAGGUACCAUAUGGAAGGACAGAGAACUUUUUCUGGCAUAUAAGCAUACCAACCAGGCGCACCUGAAUCGUUAUCACGGUUUCCUCUUGGUUGUUGUGCAACCUCCCAAGGGACAUUGUGCUUAGGGAUAUUUGGAUGCCAACCAAGCUCCCCCCUUGGAAAAAAGAGGGGAUACGAGAGCGGGUCAUAACAGCCAUCUGUGGCAUGUAUACUAUACUUCUCGUUGGUGUCCCCAUAGAGUGUAAUGCUGCGGUUGAACCUGUUUGCUAGAUCGCUUCCCUCGACCCAAAUCGCAGCCACCUCGGAUGACACGGGUCUAUUAUAUCUUCGUUGGUCUAGCUUCUGGUCAAUGUUGAGGUCUAUCCGGUACUCCUCGAGGUUUUCCUUGUGGGCACCCAAACUCCUAAACUGUUGGGAGUAGGGGUUUUCCCUGAGGACGUCCACUAACUUGCUGACAACGUGCUGGUCCAAUUGCUUGGUGGCCUCCUUGCGAUGGCUUAAGCUUGGAUCGUCAUCGUAGAAGUACAACUGCAGAUGUUCAGGGCGAGAUCUUGGACCGAACGAGUGCACCCUGUGGUACAUAGUGCCAUGUGCCCGAAACGUGUACACCCCGGACUUCAUGUUUGUGUAGUUGUUGUCUAGGCUGACGCCAAGGGUAGUGAAGGCAAAGUGCCCGUUGAAGAACCGAAUGCUCUCCCGGAAAUGCCGAGAGUCUGCAUCCGCGCUAGACCAUAACCUCAUCAGCUCUGGGAUAGGCUCGGGUUCAGCUAGCUCAAUCUCCCCGUUCCGACAGCAGAAGCCGUCAGUCUCGUACUGGAACUUCUUGGCCUUGCAAUGCUCGCAGUUUGCCGCGUGCUUUAGGAUGUGUGUGCUGUCUGGGAUGUUCGAGUAGACAUAGUCGAAAGGAUCUAGGUCGAUAGAUCCCGUGUUGGAGGAUUCUACGGGCUCAUCGAGGUCCGUGCUAUCAGUGUCGGAUGCUGCAAGCAUUGUGGAGAUAUAACAAGUCACGAUGGGAUGCACAUCAUAAACCAAUAAUAUAGAGGGAUGAGCAGCGAAAGGCGCCUCGGAGUACCUUCACCGGCAAAUAGGUAGUACUCAUCAUCCAUGAGGUCACCGGAGAGUGCAUUCUCGUCCAUGAUGCCGCUAAGGAAGGCCUCCAUGUCAGCUGUAACAUUGUUGAGCCGGUAAGUAAUGGUUUUUAUUGUGAGUGCACACCAGGAGGGGAGUAAACAUGAGAGGGUUACCAUUGGUUCCGAUGGUGUACGAUGGCAUGCUUGAUGAAGGGGAGGAAGCCGGUGAAGCAACUCCUGUGGGCGGUGCUUCUGAGCUUGUUGCUGCUCUGUUCACAUCUAAGGUACUUGCAUCUGGGCCUGGAGGCCUCCGCUUUUUUUGAAAGCUUGCAUUACGACGAUCUAGCAAAGCUGACUUCUCACCUUCUGGUAUGCUUUCCCCGCGCGCUCUUCGUUUUAAGGCACUCCCUUGAAUGUUCUUUGCUGUAAUACUUUGUUUGUGAGCUCGCUCCCGAGCCCUACGCUGUGCUCUGCUCUCCUGCCUCUGCUCCUGGGCUUGAUUCUGCUGGUCGUCUAUUUGGUGAUCAUUGGUUUGCUGCGAGGGAUUUAUGAGUUCGCUGGGGGCAUCAUUAUCAUCCAGGGUACGACUAAGGUACUCGCCUGCACCGCUGUGGAGCCGUUAAAUACUGGUUCAAUGCACAUGGACAGAACAAGUAGAGUAAAGAUGGAAGGAUUACCGUCUGAUUCGAAGUUGUUCCCAGCCUUACUCGCAAACCGGGGGGCAGGGGCAGGAGCUGAAGCUUCGGAUUCUCUGAAUGCCAACGCAUGAGUGCUCGACAUCAGGUUGGGUGUAGCUAAGGCACCUGCAUCAGGGCGCGGCAUUGCAAUGAAUUCAGCGCAAGGGGUGUUGUGCCUAGCCGCGAGUCUCUUCUUGCGCUGAGCUAGCAUGUUCUGCUUCUCCUUAGGUGAUUUGUUUUGCAGACGUGUUCUUCGGCGGGUGUUUGUCUCUUGGUUGUCAUGGACUGCCAUAUUUUGGUAGGCCGCCCUUCUAAGGGUGUUACUCUGUUGCUUCUCCUCUGGUGUCAUUCGUUGCCUGGCUUCUCUUUGACGGGCACUCCUCUCCUACUCUGUUUUUUUCCUAGCUUCUCUGCGACGUGCAUUGAUUUCCUCCUUCUGUUCAGGUGUUAAUCUAUUUCGCCGUGCCAUAUAUUGGUCUCGCCUUUUCUGUUUUCUAUCUGAUUUAAUGAUAUCAUUUGAAGCAAUGUGCUCGGGGACAGUGUCUUCAGUGUCGAGUCCAAGUGCUAUGUUUGAACCAAUAUUAUGAUCAAUGCUUCUCUCUGUUCCUCGAAGUGAUGCAUGGUGAUCAUAGUAAGUGCCUUCACGAGAAUGAUUUCCUGAAGAACCAUUUUGUUUUAACAAAUGUAUAAAUGCAAACUGAAAAAAAGUCGUGUGUAAGGGCGAUACCGAUUGAUGUUUCCACAUGCGGCACUGGCUGAAAGGCCUUGAGAUUGCUGGCUAUAGGAAUCAUCAUAGGCAGUUGCGUCGGCACAUUGUCAUCAUCAUCAGAAGACGAAACACUAUAGUUAGUAGUGCCUGUUUGUUCGCGUAUGAAAAAACCAGAUGGUGGUCGGUGUGUAUUGGUGAGUUGUGAUCUGGGUGUCCUCUCAUAUUCGACAACUGAUAAGAUUAAUGUAAGUUAAGUUGUGAAGUUUAUUGAAUACCUUAUGUGCAGACAUGUGAUUGGCAUACACAUACCUUUUUUUCCUUUAUCAUAGAGAUGCUCUCUGUCCUGUGACAUCUUUCUGUCCUAUAGAAGCUUAAAUAAACCUGCAGUCUUUUUGCAUUAAAAAAUGAUAUGAAUUGAAUUACAAAAAUGAUAUGACCUCUGGUGACUCAUUUAACAGGCUUUUUGGGCUCACUUGUUCAUUUUGAUAGACAUGUUCUUCGCAUAUGGUUUUAAAAUGAUUGUGCUAUUAUAUGUUGACGGCUGAAGUUUGUAUAUUUCAGUUUAUAAAGUGCAAGAUUUUGUAGAAGUUCAAUUUUUUAAAAAGAGGGCUUAGACAUGGCGACAAGAAUGAAGGUGGAGGGGAAGGAGUGGAGAGAAAGAUGUCUGUCUCCACGUGGUGCGAAAAAGACUAUACAGGAUUCUGUAUUAUGCCGCGUUAAAACAAUCUGGAAUAUAAAGGAUUCUGGAGGUGAGCUUAAAUGAAAGUAUUUCCUUCUAUCACUAUUCCUGUCGCGAGGCAUGUUUGUUCCCAUGAUGUAAAAGUAAACAUGGUCUGAGGUUACCUAAUCUUAUACUGCAAUUUCAGAAUUUCCUAGAUUUUUUUUUUUGACAGUUUCAACACAUGUUCUUCUUACUAAAAUGAACCUGCAGUCUUUUGCAUUAAAAAUGAUAUGAAUUGAAUUACAAAAAUUAUAUGACCUCUGGUGACUCAUUUAACAGACUUUUUGGACUCACUUGUUCAUUUUGAUAGACAUGUUCUUCGCAUAUGGUUUUAAAAUGAUUGUGCUAUUAUAUGUUGACGGCUGAAGUUUGUAUAUUUCAGUUUAUAAAGUGCAAGAUUUUGUAGAAGUUCAAUUUUUUAAAAAGAGGGCUCAGACAUGGCGACAAGAAUGAAGGUGGAGGGGAAGGAGUGGAGAGAAAGAUGCCUGUCUCCACGUGGUGCGAAAAAGACUACAGGAUUCUGUAUUAUGUCGUGUUAAAACAAUUUGGAAUAUAAAGGAUUCUGGAGGUGAGCUUAAAUGAAAGUAUUUCCUUCUAUCACUAUUCAUGUCACAAGGCAUGUUUGAACAUGGUCUGAGGUUACCUAAUCUUAUACUGCAAUUUCAGAAUUUCCUAGAUUUUUUUUUGACAAUUUCAACAGUCUUUUUGCAUUACAAAAAUGAUAUGGCAUACUAUAGGACUUUAGCAAUAUCCUUUACGGAUCAGGGCAAUAUUCUUUACGGAACAGGGUCUCCAAUAUAUGAACUUAACCGUGCGAACAGAACAGGUGGCAUAACUCAUUAGAUUUUGUAACUUUGCGGAAUAAGUGCUAAUGUAGUUGGAGUAAAAGUUAAAGAUGCAGUAUGAGUACUAACAAUAUGAAGUAUUGAACAGGAGUCUAGGAUGGCAAACCUGGGGCGUGAUGGGCAGCAUGAAACAUAACAAAGGUGGAUAUCCAUCAUUUGCCGUCGGAGAGGAAGAAGACGGUAGGCGGGCUCAGGAGAUGACGCAGAAACAGCCGUCGAGCGAGGCGAUCAGCAGAGGCUGCAGCUCCCACAGCUCGCGUUUCUGUUUUGGCGGCGUGCGCUCGCGUGUGGAUGGAGCUCGUACGCCAGGAAGAAUUGGCGUCUCGAUGGAGCUCAUACGCCAGGAAGAACUGGCGUUCGUUGGACCUCGUCCUCGUUCGUGGGUUGCGGAGCUGUUUUUUUAUUGACUGGGGGCUCAGGAGAUGACGCAGAAACAACCGUCGAGCGAGGCAAUCAGCAGAGGCUGCAGCUCCCACAACUCGCGUUUCUGUUUUGGUGGCGUGCGCUCGCGUGUGGAUGGAGCUUGUACGCCAGGAAGAACUGGCGUCUCGAUUGAGCUCAUAUGCCAGGAAGAACUGGCGUUCGUUGGACCUCGUCCUCGUUCAUGGGUUGCGGAGCUGUUUUUUUAUUGACUGGGGGCUCAGGAGAUGACGCAGAAACAGCCAUCGAGCGAGGCGAUCAGUAGAGGCUGCAGCUCCCACAGCUCGCGUUUCUGUUUUGGCGGCGUGCGCUCGCGUGUGGAUGGAGCUCGUACGCCAGGAAGAACUGGCGUCUCGAUGGAGCUCGUACGCCAGGAAGAACUGGCGUUCGUUGGACCUCGUCCUCGUUCAUGGGUUGCGGAGCUGUUUUUUUAUUGACUGGGCGCGAUCGUGGGGUUCCACGGACUUGUCGUUCGUGUGUAGAACCGUGGAUCUCGUACGUGGGCUGAGUUGGUGUAUUCUUUUUGUUUGCGGGUGCUGAGUUGGUGAUUUUUCGUACGUGGGCUGAGUUGGUGGGCUGCUGCGUGCGUGUGGCAGUUCGGGCCAUGGUUUUUGUUCGAAGGGAGGGGGAUCGAUCGAGGUCGUACCAUCACGACGUUUGAUCCCCUUUAAUAGUAGAGAUACUAGUGUCCACUGCAUACCACAUACAAGUGUGCCGUUGAAAAUAAAAUUCAUGCUGCACAUGCACAUGCUGCACAAAUAUACACAGGGUGUGUCAAUGAUGCUACAAGGAAACCGAUAAUUUCACUAGAAGUUGAUCGAUGAUGCGGCAAGGAGACCUAUAAUGAUGCGACAAUAAAGUUCACCAGAAAUUAUAUUAAUCAAGAUCUAUUAUCUGUACCCAUCUAUGUACAUUACAACAAGUAUAUACAACCUUACAUGCAUCGACACACAUACAUCCAGAAGGAGCUGCUAUGAUGCAUCCAACGACCAACAAAGAACAGAUCGAGGAAGAACUCAACGGUGACCGACAGNNNNNNNNNNNNNNNNNNNNNNNNNNNNNNNNNNNNNNNNNNNNNNNNNNNNNNNNNNNNNNNNNNNNNNNNNNNNNNNNNNNNNNNNNNNNNNNNNNNNGGAGAGUUGGGGAAGAGCGACGAGGGCGUGGCCCGUUGGGGCGGUCGUGGGCGGCGGGGAGCCGCAACAGUGACCGGCAGGGGAGAGUUGGGGAAGAGCGACGAGGGCGUGGCCCAUUAGGGCGGUCGUGGGCGGCGGGGAGCCGCCAUGGGAGAGUGCGUGGUCGUCGACGGCUAGAGGGGCGUCGGAUCCGGCUGGCGGUGUGGUCCCAGAUGGCGGCGGCGCUCGGUCGCGAGGGGCGGGGAGGAGGGUGGGAGCUAGCUCCGCGAACGGGGACGGGUCGGGGAGGCGGGGUGGCCAGCUCCGGCCGGCGAGCUCCGUCGGGCGGAGAGGCCGGAGAUCGGUGACCGCAGUAUGACCUACCCUGGCCUCUGCUUUCUCUCGAGCAGAAUGGGGGAAUGGGGUGGGGGUGGGAUCCGAGGGAAUUUUCUGAAGGGGCGCCUCGUAUAUAUAUGAAUGGCAUUUUCUCUAUAAUUACUAGGAAGUAGAAGGGCAGGGUUUUGCGGGAGGGUGAGAAGCCGGUGGGGGCGGGGAAAGCUCGUCCGGAGGAGCUUUUGCUUCACAGUGUAUUUGGACUGGAUAUUUUAAAUGAGUGCUUUUUAUAGAAUAUAUUUUGACAAAAAAAUAAUAUCAUAGGUAAUUCAAAAUCUAUGAACAUGGACAAACUUGUAUUUAAAUGUAGAUAAUAACUAAAUCAUCCGUGAAAUUAGCACAUCCCUUAAAACACCAGACACAAACAAAUAUGAUGAAACAGUCACCUACAUAGUACAUACAAACCAAGUACGUGAUAACUACACUUACAAAUUGAAACACACAAUCAUGCGUAAUAGGCAUAACCAAUGUCUACUAUCUCUACUACAUGCGCCGAGCUUUCUUUGUAUACAUCCUGGAGUGUUUGACAAAAAACUACCACAUUAGGGGUUACCGUCCCACAGAACUGCCACAUUUAAAAAAGUGACUGAUAACUAUCAAUUUUUUUAAUUUUGUGACUAAAAACUACCACUUUCGAAAAAUGGUCAGUUUAGAUGAUUUAAACAUGUUUAUGCCAUGCGGGACUCACCCGUCAGGGCUGACGUGGAGGCAAAGUCAACUCUGUUGAUUUUGACCGUUACGUUGACCGUUAUUACAAGUGGGGCCCACCUGUCAGCAUCACUCUUCUUCCUCCUCUCUCUCUUUGCCAUUUCCUCGAACACCUCGUGUGCACUCGCAAGGCACCUCCGUCGUCCUCAACUGCUGGCGCUCACCUCUCCCCAUGCCUCGAUCCCGUCUGGAUCGGGAGAGCCCGAGCUGCCCAACCACUCCGGCGACCGCCUCUCCCCCUCGCGUCACUCUGGCGAGGUCCUCUGCCGGCGACCACCUAGCUAGUACUCGCACGCACGAACCAACCUAGCUAGCACUCCCACAAACCUACAAGGCACGCGUACGCUCAAGCAUUGGCCACUAAAUUCUUGUUCAAAGAAUUAAACGGCAACACACACGCACGCUCAAGUAUCGGCCUUGGUCCGAGCUACCACAUGAGCUCCUGGGGCUCUUCGUCGCCCACCUCCCGUCCUCCGUGCAGUUGCAGCCGGCGCGCGAGGCCACGGCGCCGGAUGCCGCCAAGCUCGCACGCCUCGUCGAGGAGCUGCAAGAGCGAGAGUCCCGCCUGCGCACCGACUUGCUCGAGCACAAAAUCCUCAAGGAGACCAUCGUCGAGGAGCUGCGUCGGGUGGUGGCGUCGACGGCCUCGAAGGAAAUUUCGUCACCUUCGACGGCCGCUUCCACAGCUCCAGCCACCUUGGUUGCGCCACCGUUCCUGUCCCCAACCAACGCCAAUGACGUGCUGCGUCGGGGCGUCACCAUGGAGGAGUUCGGAGCUCAAGCCCGGAUGCACACAAGGUGUUCGAGGAAAUGCCAGAGAGAGGAGGAAGAAGAAGGGUGAUGCUGACAGGUGGGCCCCACUUGUAAUAACGGUCAAUGUAAUGGUCAAAAUAAAUAGAGUUGACUUUGCCGCCACGUCAACCCUGACAGGUGGGUCCCGCAUGUCAUAAAUGUGUUUAAAUCGUCUAAACUGACCAUUUUUCAAAAGUGGUAGUUUUUAGUCACAAAAUUAGAAAUUUUUGGUAGUUAUCAGUUUUGAAUGUGGUAGUUCUGUGGGACGGCAACCCCUAAUGUGGUAGUUUUUUGUCAAAUACUCAUACAUCCUGUGUCGGGGAUCCUUUGUAGACAACUCGCUUGCUAGAAAAGCCCACCUCCACUCAAUAAAUUGCUGAACAAACUUCAUAUCAAUCAACCCACCUAUUAUUUAGUAAAAUAACCAGAUUCAUCCCUGUAGAUGAAUACACUAUCAUUAUCUUGGGAGGUUAUGACAAUAAAUAUAAAAUGUGCAUAUUGAUUUUCAGAGUAACUUACCGGUCUACGCUCGUCGGAACAUCAAUUGGUGAUUUACGUGGCCAGAAAAAUGUAUCAGACUUCCAACCCGGUUGUGCUAAUUCGAGUGCAUCAUUCAGGUAGAAUGCAACCCUCUGAAAUUUUAAUGCAUAUCUCUCUGAAGAUAAGGACGGAAUAAGUGGGUCCAAAAUAGAUACUUGACGGGCAUGUUUGUCGAUUGCGAACAAGAUGAAGUGGCCGAGGAAUGCAUGAGGAAGCAAUAUCUACAAGUAACACUCAUUUAGAAUAAAUGUUAAUCACGACUACCAUAUAAAAUAGAACAAACUUACCCAAUUGCAUGAUGAGAUGGUGUGGUCUAUCUCAGUCGAGCUACGAAGCAAUGAUGCUAGCGCCUGAAUAUCUGGCUAUACCCGCGAAUCUAAAUCUCGUAAGGAAGUGAGGGCAGCUUCAAUCACGGCCGUCUGGGUAAAAAAUGGUUAAGGAACAUGAUGGUGACAAUGAUAAUAAUAAUUUGUGAUGUGCGAUAACUUACACAAAAUUGUAGAUCCAUAAAGCGCACGGGAGGAUCUCUUGUCAGUAAGGCCUCGUCACUUGCAAGUAUACAUAUAGCCAUGUUGAAACAAUCAAUGUCCAACGGCUGGUCCCUGCGGAUUAUACCUUUGAUCCUUCUAAGACUUAAUCCUAUCGGAUGGGGUUUAGAACUUCGCACCCACUCCUUCCUGUAGAUAACAGUUAAUAAUUGUAACAUUGUAAUAGUGUAUAUUGAAACUUUAUACUUCUUAGACAUGCUCCUUACUCCAAGGAAGUAGCAUCAUUAAUUGACAUGAUGUGGUUGCAUAGUUCAUCAACUAAAUCUUGCGGGUCCACGGCCAUGAUGGGGUUCCGAAGGGGGCCUUUGUCUUCGGCUCCAUCAUGUGAAUCUUGCCGCUUACGCUUUCGGUCCUCCAGAAACUCAACAUCAGAAUCAGAUACAUUUUCUUCAUUGUCAGAUACAUUUUCUUCAUUGUCAGUCCGAUAAUAUAUUGGACUUCCUUUUAACUUAUUAAGUUCUGUCUCCAACAAUAUGACAGCUAAUUUUCGUCGAAAUUCUUUCAUGUCCUCCUACAUAUAGUAAUUAAAAAUAAUUUGUUAAAAAGCACCAUUGAGAUGAAAUCUGUUAUUAAGAAAAAAAGAGAUACCUGAGUGAAAUUAUCAGACAAAAUAUCUCCAGUCCAAUACUCCAUACAAUUUAACAUAAACAAUCCACAUGACGCGCUACAAUAUCAAAAUAUUUCUUUAGGCUUUCAUCUCAAUAUAAAUAAAGUAUUUAAACAAGUAAUAAUGUUCAUUGUACAUGUCUCCAUUUAUUGUCCAAUGUAUAUCUAUUACCUCAAUGUUUUGGCUAACAAAUAAGACCAUAUUUUGCAUCAAUAAUGUUUUCACAAGACUUACUAUUCUAUCAUAAAUUUCUCUAUAAUCCAGUUCGGAUUACGAGAUGUGUUCAUCAUACCUAUCUGUUUGGAUUGGCUCUUGGAACUUGUCUACGACUGUCCAAUUCAUAAUAUCGAGGUCCUGCCACCUAUCACCUCUCUUAAACUCCGGCAUAUCACAUGCGAUUUUUAGAUGUUUGUCAAGUCCUUGUAACUAUUAAAUGGAAAAAUUGUCACUACAUAUUAGAGCAAAGAGAAUGUAAUGUAUAGAGGAAAACACAAUAAGCAGACAUUUACCGUCAUAGUGAGGUCACUGCGGCCCAUUCCAACUCCAAGCGAGUCCAGUACCUGUAUCUCUCGUUUCUUCGCAUUGAUUACUGAUAGAUACCAGUGGCAUUUUCUGAUGUUAAUUGGAAGGAAUACCUGAAGUAAUAAAUAUUAUAUAACACGUAACCACUUUCAGGUAAAAAGAUGUGCUUCAUUAUAUUAUAAGUGUAGUGAGUUAAGACUGACCAUGUCAUGCUCCAGAAAAGUAUUCACUCGCUUUACAAUGUGGCGAUGUGUUGCCGGGUCUAUCUUAUCUUUCUUAAACAGGGAAGACACAAAUCGUGCUUGCUAUGUGUACCUUUCCAUCUGCUCUAUUUUGCAGAUGCUCCUGGGCACUUAUGCAGUAUAUGUAUGCAUUUAUUACCUAUAAUUUCAAAGAUAUAAUACAUUUAAAUUUUGAGACACUGAUGUUUAAUUACGAGAGUUUGUGUGGUUUGACUUACAUCAUCAUGCAAAAACACAUCAUCAUGUGUAAGGCAUCUCAUCUCAACGUUCGUUAAUAAUGCAUCAUUGAUGUGCACCAACUUCGUUUUUUCAUGUAAGGACAUGAUUGAUUUAAUAAUGGAAAUAUCGUCCGCUGUGCAAAUAUAAUCUGUCAUGGGACAACGUGAAGCCAAAUUAGUUACAUAUAAAAAAGGCCAAUGAAAUGAUAAGGUUGAUAAUCACUGUGAAAGUAAAUACCUUGUGGUGUAAUAUUUGUAUUUGCUCUUCUUGGUUUGUUAUGACGCGAAUUUGCUAUUAUUUCUAUCUGCACAUCGAUCUUGUUGAUAGGUUCUUUUUCAUGGUUAACAAUAUCCAUAUCUGUCAGUGGCACAUUCUGCAAAGUGAAAUAUAUAUAGAAAUAUAUGAAUUAAAUAUAGUUCUGCCAUAUUUUUUUCAGGAAUAGUAUAAUAAUUCAUAUGCAACAUGCAAAAUAAAAGAUUAAAAAGACAGACAUCUAAGAAAUUUGAUAGCAGUGACAGACUGUUUAAAUACCUUGGUUCUACUCCUUCCGUUCUUAAAUACCUCGGUUCAAACAUCGACUACAUACGAAGCGAAAUGAGUGAUUCUACACUCUAAAGUAUGUCUUAUACGUAUGUAUGUAGUCUUUUAUUAAAAUCUAUAAAAAAAUAUACUUCGUAUUUAGGAACCAAGGAAGUGCAGCUGUGACUCUCAGUCUCACUCUCUCCUCACCGCUCUCACUUUCUCCUCACCGCUUAGCCCUUUUCCCUUCAGCUACCACCUACCCAGCUCCCCUGUGCAGCCGUCGGCGCGUCAUGGGGCGCAUCCGCACGGCGCGCGACGGUGCGAGGCGAGGAACCAAUCCCUGGCCCAACCUCCCAUCCCCCCGCCUCCGAACCAUUCUUACGGCCUGGCUGCGCCCUCGCGAGCAUCCCACACCCACUCCCAUCACUCCCUGGUGUCCGACGAGAUCCGCCGGGCAGGGCUCUCGCGGACGCACGCGCAGUCUGGGCGGCGGCAUCCACCGCGCAGCGCCCCCUGCCCCGACACGCCGGUCGGAAUCUUCUGCUGGCAACGCCCGGCGACCGGCGCGCGCCGUGCAGCCCGAGGAGACCCUGCAGCAAGCCGUGCUCGCCCGGAUGGGCAGAGUACGAGCAGGAGUGGAUUCCGUGGUGCACCACGACGUCGAUGGCUUCUCUUCGCCACCGAGCUCUGCUCCCCUCCCUGUGCAUCAGGAUGAAGGUGCUCACGAAUCUUACCUUGUCACGGUCGACUCCCCUCUCUCCCUCCGCGUUCUGCAUUGGUAGGUCUGUUGGAUUGGCACCGCCGGUGAAGCAAAAAACUGGAGGUUGAUUGAAUCUCUCCUAUAUAUAAGGUUAGCUAGAUGUGUAGUAUCGGUAUACGGUUAGGAUAAGGUUGUUUAUUUAGUGAGAUGAGGAUUAAACCUUUCUUGGGGUUGUUCGGAUUGGAUACGGACUUUCUGCCAAUUCUGUUUCCCAUAAACUCGUUUAAAGGGCUAACCACAUGAAAUUUGUUAGCGUACCCAAAAUUAUAGUUUUUUUAGGGACAGAAUUAGUAAAACUUGGUUUUAGUAGAACAGGCAAAGAACUUUGGUCAAGGAGGCUAGCUUCCUCUUCCUGGAGAUUGGAUCUGCCAAUCCUGACCAAAUUUUGAAUUGUACAGACCCACAAUGCAUUUCAACAAAGCCAAACACAAUGUCAGAAUCAUACAGAUUUAUGCAAGGUAACCUGACAUAAAAGUCAGUACUCUACAAUGGUGACAGUCAUACUAAUGUACAAUUUGUAAAAAUCGAAUGCAAAGCUUGGUCUGCAUCUUUUGGCAAAUAGCAUAAGGUUGAUGUUUCUAAUCCUGUACAUGGUACUUUGGAAUCACCUUCUUCAUUGAAUUUUGAGGCCUGAAAUUGAUGUUUAAGAACGUGUUAGAAAUUAAGGACAGCUGCAUGCUAAAUCUUAUCACAGAGGUACAGAAAAAAGCAGAUCAACAUAUUAUGUUCCUUUUCUUCAUAUCGAAGUAUCUGUCGCCUAGAAAAACUCAUCCUUUAAUAGUUGAGAUAGUAGAGAUAUGAGGAGAUCACUGAUGGCUUCACUCAGCUUGGGUUCUUCAUUAAUUAUCAGAUACAUAGUUCCUUGUCCAUGUAUUAGUCCCUGACAGUAGUAUGGGGUUGAAUAUCGCAGGGCGCGUCUGUAGCCGGUAACAGUAGUAGUCCCUGACAGAGACACACAACCGGCUGUUCCCCUCUGUGGAAAGACGUGAAAGAAGAAGGUUAGGUACCAUAUGGAAGGACAGAGAACUUUUUCUGGCAUAUAAGCAUACCAACCAGGCGCACCUGAAUCGUUAUCACGGUUUCCUCUUGGUUGUUGUGCAACCUCCCAAGGGACAUUGUGCUUAGGGAUAUUUGGAUGCCAACCAAGCUCCCCCCUUGGAAAAAAGAGGGGAUACGAGAGCGGGUCAUAACAGCCAUCUGUGGCAUGUAUACUAUACUUCUCGUUGGUGUCCCCAUAGAGUGUAAUGCUGCGGUUGAACCUGUUUGCUAGAUCGCUUCCCUCGACCCAAAUCGCAGCCACCUCGGAUGACACGGGUCUAUUAUAUCUUCGUUGGUCUAGCUUCUGGUCAAUGUUGAGGUCUAUCCGGUACUCCUCGAGGUUUUCCUUGUGGGCACCCAAACUCCUAAACUGUUGGGAGUAGGGGUUUUCCCUGAGGACGUCCACUAACUUGCUGACAACGUGCUGGUCCAAUUGCUUGGUGGCCUCCUUGCGAUGGCUUAAGCUUGGAUCGUCAUCGUAGAAGUACAACUGCAGAUGUUCAGGGCGAGAUCUUGGACCGAACGAGUGCACCCUGUGGUACAUAGUGCCAUGUGCCCGAAACGUGUACACCCCGGACUUCAUGUUUGUGUAGUUGUUGUCUAGGCUGACGCCAAGGGUAGUGAAGGCAAAGUGCCCGUUGAAGAACCGAAUGCUCUCCCGGAAAUGCCGAGAGUCUGCAUCCGCGCUAGACCAUAACCUCAUCAGCUCUGGGAUAGGCUCGGGUUCAGCUAGCUCAAUCUCCCCGUUCCGACAGCAGAAGCCGUCAGUCUCGUACUGGAACUUCUUGGCCUUGCAAUGCUCGCAGUUUGCCGCGUGCUUUAGGAUGUGUGUGCUGUCUGGGAUGUUCGAGUAGACAUAGUCGAAAGGAUCUAGGUCGAUAGAUCCCGUGUUGGAGGAUUCUACGGGCUCAUCGAGGUCCGUGCUAUCAGUGUCGGAUGCUGCAAGCAUUGUGGAGAUAUAACAAGUCACGAUGGGAUGCACAUCAUAAACCAAUAAUAUAGAGGGAUGAGCAGCGAAAGGCGCCUCGGAGUACCUUCACCGGCAAAUAGGUAGUACUCAUCAUCCAUGAGGUCACCGGAGAGUGCAUUCUCGUCCAUGAUGCCGCUAAGGAAGGCCUCCAUGUCAGCUGUAACAUUGUUGAGCCGGUAAGUAAUGGUUUUUAUUGUGAGUGCACACCAGGAGGGGAGUAAACAUGAGAGGGUUACCAUUGGUUCCGAUGGUGUACGAUGGCAUGCUUGAUGAAGGGGAGGAAGCCGGUGAAGCAACUCCUGUGGGCGGUGCUUCUGAGCUUGUUGCUGCUCUGUUCACAUCUAAGGUACUUGCAUCUGGGCCUGGAGGCCUCCGCUUUUUUUGAAAGCUUGCAUUACGACGAUCUAGCAAAGCUGACUUCUCACCUUCUGGUAUGCUUUCCCCGCGCGCUCUUCGUUUUAAGGCACUCCCUUGAAUGUUCUUUGCUGUAAUACUUUGUUUGUGAGCUCGCUCCCGAGCCCUACGCUGUGCUCUGCUCUCCUGCCUCUGCUCCUGGGCUUGAUUCUGCUGGUCGUCUAUUUGGUGAUCAUUGGUUUGCUGCGAGGGAUUUAUGAGUUCGCUGGGGGCAUCAUUAUCAUCCAGGGUACGACUAAGGUACUCGCCUGCACCGCUGUGGAGCCGUUAAAUACUGGUUCAAUGCACAUGGACAGAACAAGUAGAGUAAAGAUGGAAGGAUUACCGUCUGAUUCGAAGUUGUUCCCAGCCUUACUCGCAAACCGGGGGGCAGGGGCAGGAGCUGAAGCUUCGGAUUCUCUGAAUGCCAACGCAUGAGUGCUCGACAUCAGGUUGGGUGUAGCUAAGGCACCUGCAUCAGGGCGCGGCAUUGCAAUGAAUUCAGCGCAAGGGGUGUUGUGCCUAGCCGCGAGUCUCUUCUUGCGCUGAGCUAGCAUGUUCUGCUUCUCCUUAGGUGAUUUGUUUUGCAGACGUGUUCUUCGGCGGGUGUUUGUCUCUUGGUUGUCAUGGACUGCCAUAUUUUGGUAGGCCGCCCUUCUAAGGGUGUUACUCUGUUGCUUCUCCUCUGGUGUCAUUCGUUGCCUGGCUUCUCUUUGACGGGCACUCCUCUCCUACUCUGUUUUUUUCCUAGCUUCUCUGCGACGUGCAUUGAUUUCCUCCUUCUGUUCAGGUGUUAAUCUAUUUCGCCGUGCCAUAUAUUGGUCUCGCCUUUUCUGUUUUCUAUCUGAUUUAAUGAUAUCAUUUGAAGCAAUGUGCUCGGGGACAGUGUCUUCAGUGUCGAGUCCAAGUGCUAUGUUUGAACCAAUAUUAUGAUCAAUGCUUCUCUCUGUUCCUCGAAGUGAUGCAUGGUGAUCAUAGUAAGUGCCUUCACGAGAAUGAUUUCCUGAAGAACCAUUUUGUUUUAACAAAUGUAUAAAUGCAAACUGAAAAAAAGUCGUGUGUAAGGGCGAUACCGAUUGAUGUUUCCACAUGCGGCAUUGGCUGAAAGGCCUUGAGAUUGCUGGCUAUAGGAAUCAUCAUAGGCAGUUGCGUCGGCACAUUGUCAUCAUCAUCAGAAGACGAAACACUAUAGUUAGUAGUGCCUGUUUGUUCGCGUAUGAAAAAACCAGAUGGUGGUCGGUGUGUAUUGGUGAGUUGUGAUCUGGGUGUCCUCUCAUAUUCGACAACUGAUAAGAUUAAUGUAAGUUAAGUUGUGAAGCUUAUUGAAUACCUUAUGUGCAGACAUGUGAUUGGCAUACACAUACCUUUUUUUCCUUUAUCAUAGAGAUGCUCUCUGUCCUGUGACAUCUUUCUGUCCUAUAGAAGCUUAAAUAAACCUGCAGUCUUUUUGCAUUAAAAAAUGAUAUGAAUUGAAUUACAAAAAUGAUAUGACCUCUGGUGACUCAUUUAACAGGCUUUUUGGGCUCACUUGUUCAUUUUGAUAGACAUGUUCUUCGCAUAUGGUUUUAAAAUGAUUGUGCUAUUAUAUGUUGACGGCUGAAGUUUGUAUAUUUCAGUUUAUAAAGUGCAAGAUUUUGUAGAAGUUCAAUUUUUUAAAAAGAGGGCUUAGACAUGGCGACAAGAAUGAAGGUGGAGGGGAAGGAGUGGAGAGAAAGAUGUCUGUCUCCACGUGGUGCGAAAAAGACUAUACAGGAUUCUGUAUUAUGUCGCGUUAAAACAAUCUGGAAUAUAAAGGAUUCUGGAGGUGAGCUUAAAUGAAAGUAUUUCCUUCUAUCACUAUUCCUGUCGCGAGGCAUGUUUGUUCCCAUGAUGUAAAAGUAAACAUGGUCUGAGGUUACCUAAUCUUAUACUGCAAUUUCAGAAUUUCCUAGAUUUUUUUUUGACAGUUUCAACACAUGUUCUUCUUACUAAAAUGAACCUGCAGUCUUUUUGCAUUAAAAAUGAUAUGAAUUGAAUUACAAAAAUUAUAUGACCUCUGGUGACUCAUUUAACAGGCUUUUUGGACUCACUUGUUCAUUUUGAUAGACAUGUUCUUCGCAUAUGGUUUUAAAAUGAUUGUGCUAUUAUAUGUUGACGGCUGAAGUUUGUAUAUUUCAGUUUAUAAAGUGCAAGAUUUUGUAGAAGUUCAAUUUUUUAAAAAGAGGGCUCAGACAUGGCGACAAGAAUGAAGGUGGAGGGGAAGGAGUGGAGAGAAAGAUGCCUGUCUCCACGUGGUGCGAAAAAGACUACAGGAUUCUGUAUUAUGUCGUGUUAAAACAAUUUGGAAUAUAAAGGAUUCUGGAGGUGAGCUUAAAUGAAAGUAUUUCCUUCUAUCACUAUUCCUGUCACAAGGCAUGUUUGAACAUGGUCUGAGGUUACCUAAUCUUAUACUGCAAUUUCAGAAUUUCCUAGAUUUUUUUUGACAAUUUCAACAGUCUUUUUGCAUUACAAAAAUGAUAUGGCAUACUAUAGGACUUUAGCAAUAUCCUUUACGGAUCAGGGCAAUAUUCUUUACGGAACAGGGUCUCCAAUAUAUGAACUUAACCGUGCGAACAGAACAGGUGGCAUAACUCAUUAGAUUUUGUAACUUUGCGGAAUAAGUGCUAAUGUAGUUGGAGUAAAAGUUAAAGAUGCAAUAUGAGUACUAACAAUAUGAAGUAUUGAACAGGAGUCUAGGAUGGCAAAACUGGGGCGUGAUGGGCAGCAUGAAACAUAACAAAGGUGGAUAUCCGUCAUUUGCCGUCGGAGAGGAAGAAGACGGUAGGCGGGCUCAGAAGAUGACGCAGAAACAGCCGUCGAGCGAGGCGAUUAGCAGAGGCUGCAGCUCCCACAGCUCGCGUUUCUGUUUUGGCAGCGUGCGCUCGCGUGUGGAUGGAGCUCGUACGCCAGGAAGAAUUGGCGUCUCGAUGGAGCUCGUACGCCAGGAAGAACUGGCGUUCGUUGGACCUCGUCCUCGUUCGUGGGUUGCGGAGCUGUUUUUUUAUUGACUGGGGGCUCAGGAGAUGACACAGAAACAGCCGUCGAGCGAGGCGAUCAGCAGAGGCUGCAGCUCCCACAACUCGCGUUUCUGUUUUGGCGGCGUGCGCUCGCGUGUGGAUGGAGC